CCCAGUAUUUUAAGGCAGGUCAUAGAAGCAGUCUUCCUGCACAUUUAAAAAUAAUAGCAAGUCAAAAAAAUGAAGCAAAUAGGUGAGGCACUUAGUGCCAAAAUCAAUACACAAAGACAAUAGAGUUGCUACGUGGUACAAUGUCAAGGAUUGACUCCUAUUUCAUAAUACUUUAGAAUACCGCCAAUUUCUUGUUCAAU
rnacentral:lncRNA from 1 species